rnacentral:lncRNA from 1 species
UUCCAUAGAAAAAGAAAAUAUAGAGGCGAUACAAAUAUGCUGAAGGUUAUUCCAUUGUUUUUAGUUGUAGACUAUGUUAUGUUUAAAAGAUAGUAUUUUGCCCAUGAUUUUUGCCAAAACAGUCAUUAAUUUAAUAGGCUGAUUUUUCCUCUCCGGAUUUGAAGGCGGGAAUAUGGCACUUGGAAGUCAUAUCUAGUCCUAUCUCAAUAUUGAUAUACCAUUAUGAAGUGGAAUUCAUCAUUUUUUUUCUCAAUGAUAAGGAUUAACUUCAACAAAGGGCAACACCAAUGCUCAUUUGAUAUAAGAAUCCAUAAAUGACUAAUAAUGAUUCUUAUAGAUGCUCUAAAGACGUAAUAGUAAAUGCCCCUUGUUACCGUUGAUGGUAACUGAAAGGAUGGAAGUUCAAAAUUAGUCAUGAAACGUAUGAUGAGUUGCAAUGCUAAACUACCCAUGAAGGAUCGAAAAGGAAUAUUCCUAAAUCAUGGAUGGGUUGACAAAUUGUACAAGACAGAGAAUCUGAGCGUUCAAUUAAUACCUUUACUAUGGAUGUAUGGAUGUAAUCCAUUGGAUAGCACUUGAAAGAAAUAAAUAUCUUAAACUCAAUGUGCAUAGGUUUAAUUCAUUUUCUGCUCCCUGAGGAAAAAAAUAAUAGACGUUAUGGAUAUGGACUUCAAAGACAAUUCUUAGGUCAGAGGAAACAAUUAUAAUACGAUGAUGUUUACUUAUACUUAAUCUGGUGAAACGCCACAACACUCAUAAAAUGAAAAUUAAAAAUUAAUCCUUCAUUUCCGUAAGAUAUACCAAUUUGAUUCAAAAGUAAAGGAUAUCUUAACGCCGAAAUUAUAAGUGAGCUCUGACAAUCUAAAAAGAAAUGGGUCAAGUUGUGUUAACGUGAAAUCAUACGAUCAUUGAGUAAGGUGAGUUAUGAAUUAGAUGCUUCAAACUUUGUCCUAAAUAAUUGUAAAAGGAAUUCAUUGGUAUUAGUUGUAUAUAUAUACUCUCAUACUAGAAUAAUAUUUUCAUGCAUACGAGCUCAAUUCCUCUUCACUCUAAGAACGACGAUAUUAUCAUUUUUACUUAGUGGUAAAAAAUACUAUCUAAUAUACAAAACUUUGCCUCCUAAAAAAUUUCAGUUAAACAUGUGGACAGGGGUCGUGUAACAUUUUUUUAGCGUUACCCCAAAAUAACAGGUAGUAAAACAAAUUCAACCCAAACUAGAAGCAUGAUAUUUUUUUAUUUGUAUUUUCAUAUUAAACACUAGAAGUAAAGUCCUUCCUUAUGUCAUGCCAUCAACUCCCAUUAACCUCCAAAGUUUUCUAUAUUAACCCAUUUAUGAUAAAUUUACCUUUGUUCCCUGUAUGACGAAGUUUCGGAGACAUAAACUUUUUAAUAUUCCCCAAAAAACUCGAUACAUACAACUUCCAUGCAAAACUUUCAAAUAGGGACUGAGACUGUGUGUGGAAGCUUGUGAUACCGGACAUUUCUAUGAGUUGAAGGUUAAAGCUGUAUCUCUUCAGUCGGAUCCAAAACGUUACGCCUUUGUAUCGCAAAUCUUAAAGAUAAUAAUGUUACUCAACAUUGGAUCGAACAUGAAUAUUUUACCGAAACAACUCGUGAAUAGGUCAAAGAUGAUGAAGAAUACUGGUCAAAUAGAGGUUUUUGGUGGGAAAAAGGUCAAGACUCUGGGCCAGAUCAAGUUGUCGGUUGCGUUAAAUAGUUUUCAUACUUUUCAUUUCGUUUUACGGGUAUGAUGGUUCCAGUACCAUCAUGGCCCAUAUUUUGAAUUAUUAACCAAAAGAUAAGAUAAUCUUUAUAUAAUGGAGUUGGAAAUUUUAUGUCGUAUUGCACCGUAGUUAAGGAAAACGCCUGUAUACAUUAUCUCAUUAUGUGCCUUGAUCAUUCUUAGUUUUUCCACUUCUCCCAUAUUAACUUGUUUUGAUGAAUUGUAUUAGUAAUGAUAAUGUUCAUACUUUUCUUUUGGUUUUCCUCAGUAGUAUUGAAACAUUGUCAGUUGAUGCAAUGGUAACAAUAUUAUUGCCAUUCCAGUUGGAAAGAACUAUAUUGUAAUUUGCAUCAUUAAAAAAUUGAUUAUUCCCCCUUUGUGAUUUUUUGAACGUCAUGACACUGACAAAUAGGCACUUUUCUACCAUAUUUUUUUUAUGGUUCCAGUACCGUCAUGCCCAUAUUUUGGAUUGUUUCCAAAAGAUAAGAUAAUCUUUAUAUAAUAGAGUUGGAAAUUUUAUGUCAUAUUGUACCGUAAUUAAGGAAAACGCCUAUAGACAUUAUCUCAUUAUGUGACUUGAUCAUUCUUAGUCUAUCCAGUUCUCCCAUAUUAAGUUGUUUUGAUGAAUUGUAUUAGUAAUGAUAAUGUACAUACUUUUCUUUUGGUUUUCCUCAGUAGUAUUGAAGCAUUCUCAGUUGAUUCAAUGGUAACAAUAUUAUUGCCAUUCCAGUUGGAAAGAACUAUAUUGUUAUUUGCAUCAUAAAAAAAUUGAUUAUUUUUCUUAAAGAUAAUCUUUAUAAGCAAUUUCCCGUUGAAUAUUUUUUCUGAGCUCUUCUAACGUUGACUGAUUAUUAGUGUAGACCAAGGCUUUUUACGUGACCCAAAGAAAAUAGUCUAGAUGCGUUAAAUCGCACGAGCGAGGCGGCCAAUUCACUGGUCCAUUUCUGGAGAUAAAACGCUCACCAAACUUUCUUUUCAAUAAAUCGAUUGUAACAUUUGCUGUGUGUGAAGUGUCAACGAGCCGUUCAUCUAAAAAAUAAUUAAUAUGUCCCAGAGCCUGUAACUCCGGGUCCAGGGUUAACCUGGCCAGGCAACGACUGAGCCUGUUACAUCUUUGCCGUUGGACCAACCGAUCCAGGUGGUUCUAAAUGAGUGUUAUCAGAAUGCUCGCCGACUAGCCAAAGCCCCGACGAGUUUAUUUUUAUAAGAUAACACGCAAAAUGCAGGAAAUAAAAUCGAAAAUAAACAAACUACCAUCAAAUACUUAAGGAUUAAAAAACCUGCUAUAGAAGAACGAAAAAACAGUACAUUUUGCUUUUAAGUAAGAUACAAGUACAUAACAAUACAAGUACAAGAUCGGGGAUUAACCCUUAACAAAUUAAAUAUGAACAUAUACAUAUUAUUAUAAAUUGAUGGUGAUGGUUGGACCGCAGAUUCAAGCGGUGGUGAUUGGUUAACGAAUUUAGUUUCAAAUCCGGAGGAGACUCAAGCUGUGAAGAUAGAAGGCAUAUGCCUAAUUGUUUGGAAUAAAGCUUAUGAGUCCCAUAAUCAAGUCUAGUAGACUAUAAGGCUAUGAAGAUAGGAGUCAAGUGCUCCAUUCUCUGAAAAA